rnacentral:rRNA from 1 species
GCCUAAAGCGUCCGUAGCCGGCUCUGUAAGUUUUCGGUUAAAUCUGUACGCUUAACGUACAGGCCGCCGGGAAUACUGCAGAGCUAGGGAGUGGGAGAGGUAGACGGUACUCGGGAGGAAGUGGUAAAAUGCUUUGAUCUCUCGAUGACCACCUGUGUCGAAGGCGGUCUACCAGAACACGUCCGACGGUGAGGGAUGAAAGCUGGGGGGGCAAACCGGAUUAGAUACCCGGGUAGUCCCAGCUGUAAACUAUGCAAACUCAGUGAUGCAUUGGCUUGUGGCCAAUGCAGUGUUGCAGGGAAGCCGUUAAGUUUGCCGCCUGGGAAGUACGUACGCAAGUAUGAAACUUAAAGGAAUUGGCGGGGGAGCACCACAAGGGGUGAAGCCUGCGGUUCAAUUGGAGUCAACGCCAGAAAUCUUACCCGGAGAGACAGCAGAAUGAAGGUCAAGCUGAAGACUUUACCAGACAAGCUGAGAGGUGGUGCAUGGCCGCCGCCAGCUCGUGCCGUGAGAUGUCCUGUUAAGUCAGGUAACGAGCGAGAUCCCUGCCUCUAGUUGCCACCAUUACUCUCAGGAGUAGUGGGGCGAAUUAGCGGGACCGCCGCAGUUAAUGCGGAGGAAGGAAGGGGCCACGGCAGGUCAGUAUGCCCCGAA